rnacentral:lncRNA from 1 species
UAUCAAGAUUAAAGAUUAGGAUUAAAAAGGAGGGAAAGGAAUUGUUGGAUUAACAAAUUGAAUUGGAAUACAAAAGAGGGAGGUAUGAGGAGGUCCGGGAAACAAGUACAGUAAAUGUAAAAGAAGUGAUGAAAAGAUGGAAUUGUUUUUAACUGUUUUUUCUUUUUUCUACUUUGUAUUUUUCCUUUUUAUUGUUAAUCUUUUUAUUAAUGUGAUUUUUCCUCUUUUGAAACUUUAAUAAAUAUUAUUUAAAAAAAAAAAGAUUUAACAUUUUUCUCUCUCUCUGUGUGUGUGUGUAUUAAAUUGAAAAGGUUUCUUUCCUCAUGAUUAAAAACAAAACAACCUUGAAAGUCAUGCACCAAGACUGGCAGAACACAGUCCGCCUGACAUUACUGCUUUUUCAGUAGCCUUUUUAGCCUAAGCCCCAUUUACAAAUCUUCUCCUGAAGUACUACACCAGCUCGCGAGUCCUGACAGGAUUUAAACCGCGGCGGGCAGCCCGGACACAUUAUUAAGCUUCUUCCCGCGCUCACGGUACAGAUAAAGAUAAGACGGAGCACGGGGAAAGCACCACAAUUCGCACCAUUGACAAUCAUAAUUUUUAAACAGGUUUGCUGCCUUCUUUCCUACAGUCGUAAUUUUGGAUGUAUGCGAUUUUAAUCCAGCAGCAGCAGCUGAGCCGAGCUGAGAGAUUUUCAGACUCCACACGUAAACGUUGUAGGAAAACACCCACCUUCCCCAUACUUAUCUGGAGGGUGCCAAAUGACAGAAAGUUCCAGCUGCUACUAAACUUUCUAAGGCCUCAUCUGAACUACCUGCUCCCUUCUGCCCUCCCUUCUUUUUUUCUUCUUCUUUUUUUUACAAGCACAACACAACGUCAGGUCCCUGAACGCCCCAUGCUCAUCAUUUCCUAACGCAAACUGGCCUUGUUCAAUCAAUAUUUAUGCCUCUAUCACUCACAGCUGCAACAUGGAGCAAUAAUGAAGCAUAAUGGGGGUAAAAUUCAUUCCUUGUAAUUACCAAUGAAAAAUUAACUGCGUAUUCAUUUAUAGCCUAUUGUUUUUCAGAUAUUGCAGAGAGAUAGCUGAGGCACAGUCAAUAGAUUAAUUAAGCAACCUGGGUAAUACAGGCUGUACAUGAUUUGUCUUGAGUGUUGCAUGAUCCCAGCAGACUGAGAAUUGCUUGACCAAGCUGGAUAGCUAAAUACUGAUGGAAUUUUGUAUUACACAGAAGCAACAUCAUUUGGCAACGGGAAGGGGGUGGACACCAGACUCUGGCAUGGAAGGCUAUUCCUGCAGUUCAGUUAUGUUCAUGGACACAGCCUGAAAACAAAGCUUUGUACUCAACAUAUCUGCUCCCGAGAUGUGCAUGAGUUACAAUUUUUGUAGUUUACACCAACUUAAAAAACAAACAAAACUGAUCCGCUUCACAUAUGUAGUGCUAACCAUGGUUUAGCCUUACAAGGAUGAGCUGCAGCAAGCCUUAGGCUUGUGCAAUCCCCACGCCCACUUCCUUCACUGACAUGGCUAUGAGGAGAUUAGAAGUUUCAGCAUCCUUUUUAGAUUACAUCCAAACCCCUAAACCAUGGUUUGCCGGAACUAUUGUUAAGUGAAAACAAGCCGGCUUUGCAAUCUAUUAUUUGAAGUUAGCUUAUUCCCACUAACCGCUGUUAAGACUAACCACAGUUUAUAACAACGUAAUAACAGAGCCUGUUGGAUCAGGUCAAUGGUCCAUCUAGUCCAACCCAAAAAGACAUGAGGGCAACAGCACUCUCUUCACAUGUGAGUCCCAGCAACUGGCAUCUAGAGGCAUAUUGCCUCCGACUGUGGAAGUAGAAUGCAGCCAUCAUGUAACCUUAUUCUCCUUAUCUUGGACUUGUCUGCACAUCAUUACUUUGUUCUAGGUACGCAGUAGAGCCAGUAUUGCGUUCACACUUUCUGAAACUAUGCAGGAACUGAAACACAGCUUUCCCCCCUCAGUUUGUGAUUCUGUAAAUUUUGAGAUGCCUCUCUCCAGCCAAAUAAGUACAAAAAUGCACAUGCUGGGGUGCAGUGUGCAUAAAAAUGCAUGUAACAGUGAAAACAGCAUUACGGCCUAGGACCCACGUACCUACGGGACCGCCUCUCCUGAUAUGCCCCACGGAGGACCUUAAGGUCCACAAAUGACAACACCUUGGAGGUCCCAAGUCACAAGGUGGUUAGAUUGGUCUCAACUAGGGCCAAGGCCUUUUCAGUACUGGCCCCGACUUGGUGGAACGCUCUGUCACAAGAGACUAGGACCCUGUGGGACCUGAUAUCUUUCCGCAGGGCCUGCAAGACAGAGCUGUUUCCGCCUGGCCUUUGGUUUGGACUCAGUCUGACCCUUAUGUUUCCCUCCCCUUAUGGUUUUGAUCUAUGGGCUUCUAUUAAAAUGAGGCUGCAUUUUAAAUUAUAUUUUAACCUGUAUUUUAAAUUGGUUGGGUUUUUUUAAUUGUAAUUUUACUGGUGUUAGCUGCCCUGAGCCCGGCUCUGGCCUGGGAGGGCAGGGUAUAAAUAAAAAUUUAUUAUUUUAUUAUUAUUUAUUACAUCAGGGGAAGUUGAUCUGCAAAAAAAAAUGAGUAUUAGGCAAAAGCGUGUACAAGCGUGUGUAUAUUAGGAAAUUUCACAUUAAAAUGCUGAUGAAUUUCAUGAGGACUUUAAAAAAGUGAUGUGAAAAUAGUGGAGAAAUGAAUUUAAGAUUGGAAAUAUGAAAAAUAGAAAUUGACAGAUUCUGUAAUUUAUUACCCACCCUUCACCUUAAGGUCCCAGGUGACUCAAUAAGGUAAACAACAACUUUUAUGACCGAAUUUUUACUUCUUGAAAUAUGGCAACCCUAUCAGUGAGAAAAGAAAGAGAAGUAUGUUCAUGUGUUGGAUCAUUAAAAAUAAUAAUACUUCCACUGACUUGAAAACACACAAGAUCAGGUCUCAUAUUAACCAGCAAAGUCAUGUUAAUAUUGGGUAGGCAGCUCAAUUAAUUAAUGUGCUAAGAAAUUAAUUUUCACAGCCCGUGCCGUUGGCUUAAUGUGUGUUAAAUGUCUAUGAGAAAGAUUGGUUGCUAUGAAAACUACAGGAAUGGAAAUAAGUAAAAGAUUAUCAGCCAAGUUCUGCUUUUAUUACAUAAACCUUUGUGCUGCGAAUAGUAUCUGCUCAGGGGCAGAAGGUGUGCUUUUCGUGCAAAAGGUCCCGGGUUCAACCCCUGACAUCUCCAGGUAAGGAUGAGGAACCUCCCUGUCCAGAGCCAUUGCUGGUCAGUGUAGAUGUGGACUCCCCAACAUCACUGCAGUUCAUUGUUCCUCCCCGUGACCACCAGAAGCACAAUGAAACUGAGAUCCCGUACGUGAUGACUUGGGUUGAAGCUCAGUGGGGAUGACUUUUGAGUAUUUGUUUAUGAAAUCAAAACAUUUCUAGCCUAUCCUUCAUCAGCAAAUAUCCUAGGACAGAGCAGGCCCAUAGCCAGGGAGGGCUGGGGGGGGGGGGCCUAUCCCACACACAUUCUCUGCCCCUUAAAAGACAUAAUUCAAUAAUCAGGAAAGACUUGGUUUAAAGGUCCUAGUGUCAUGGUAUUUUUUCCUUCAGAGGCCAAGGAAGCCUCCAAGCAACCUACUUAAGCCCAUCAGCACCAUGCAUUCUUAAUAUGGCUGUUUGCAGGUAACCAUGAGGUCUGCAGACAUGAAAAAGCAAUCAGGGAGAGAUGGAGAUGGAGAUGGAGAGAGAGAGAAAGAGAGAGAGAUGCUUUUUAUUUCAUUUUUUGUCCACAGGCCAGAGGACAAGAGCCACAGGUUUCUUUUGAGGAGAUCCAAUUUCUCCAAAUUUGGGGCGGGGGACGGACUUGCAGGAGAAAGGAGCAUUCUGGAGGCAUCUGAUAAAAUGCAUCAGAAAUCCUGUUAGGGCUAGGGUGGCUAGCGCUAAAAACUAUGAUUUUUUAUUGAAGGGAAUUUAGAUUUGUUUCACAACUAGAGGGAGGGAGGGAGUUAGGAGUUAUGUUAAUUACUUUGAUUGAUUGCUUUGCCAAUGCUACUUUUUAGUUUAUAUGCAAAUUAUAUCCAAUCGCUUUAAGUCUAAGCAUAUGUGUAAGUUGCUUCAUUUUCAAAUAUUUUAUCUUAUGUCGUAUUAUAAAUUCAAUUUUCUAUAUAUAAGUUCUAUUACAUUUAUAGCGCCAUUUAACAAUACUAUUAAGCUUUGUACAUUAAUAAACUGAGUGAUUCAUUUCAAUUACAAUCAGGAAUCUGUGGUUUUUAUUGUGUAAACUUUACUCCCUAUUCCACUGAGCUACUACUGAGCAAAAACAAAUCUUGACUGGAAUCCAAUGCAUGCUGGUGCAUUGCCCAGUUUUUGGUAUUGUAUGUACUAAUGCUCAUUGGCUAUCCAAACUAACACCAAUUAGCUACCAGGUGGAGUUUGAGAUAUUGGUACUU